UGCAAGUCGAACGAUGAAAUCCUCUGCUUGCAGAGGAUGGAUUAGUGGCGAACGGGUGAGUAACACGUGGGUAACCUGCCCAUAAGAGGGGGAUAACAUUCGGAAACGGAUGCUAAUACCGCAUAGGUCUUUGAGACGCCUGUCUCUUAGAUGAAAGGUGGCUUCGGCUGCCGCUUAUGGAUGGACCCGCGGCGUAUUAGCUAGUUGGUGAGGUAAUGGCUCACCAAGGCUGUGAUACGUAGCCGACCUGAGAGGGUGAUCGGCCACACUGGGACUGAGACACGGCCCAGACUCCUACGGGAGGCAGCAGUAGGGAAUCUUCCACAAUGGGUGAAAACCUGAUGGAGCAAUACCGCGUGAGUGAAGAAGGUCUUCGGAUCGUAAAGCUCUGUUGUUAGAGAAGAACAAGUCGGGUAGUAACUGCCCCGACCUUGACGGUAUCUAACCAGAAAGUCACGGCUAACUACGUGCCAGCAGCCGCGGUAAUACGUAGGUGACAAGCGUUGUCCGGAUUUAUUGGGCGUAAAGCGAGCGCAGGCGGUCUUUUAAGUCUGAUGUGAAAGCCCACGGCUCAACCGUGGAGGGUCAUUGGAAACUGGAAGACUUGAAUGCAGAAGAGGAAAGUGGAAUUCCAUGUGUAGCGGUGAAAUGCGUAGAUAUAUGGAGGAACACCAGUGGCGAAGGCGACUUUCUGGUCUGUAAUUGACGCUGAGGCUCGAAAGCGUGGGGAGCGAACAGGAUUAGAUACCCUGGUAGUCCACGCCGUAAACGAUGAGUGCUAAGUGUUGGAGGGUUUCCGCCCUUCAGUGCUGGAGCUAACGCAUUAAGCACUCCGCCUGGGGAGUACGGCCGCAAGGCUGAAACUCAAAGGAAUUGACGGGGACCCGCACAAGCGGUGGAGCAUGUGGUUUAAUUCGAARCAACGCGAAGAACCUUACCAGGUCUUGACAUCCUCUGAACACUC
rnacentral:rRNA from 1 species